AAACUGAAGAGUUUGAUCCUGGCUCAGAUUGAACGCUGGCGGCAUGCCUUACACAUGCAAGUCGAACGGCAGCACGGGUGCUUGCACCUGGUGGCGAGUGGCGAACGGGUGAGUAAUACAUCGGAACAUGUCCUGUAGUGGGGGAUAGCCCGGCGAAAGCCGGAUUAAUACCGCAUACGAUCUACGGAUGAAAGCGGGGGACCUUCGGGCCUCGCGCUAUAGGGUUGGCCGAUGGCUGAUUAGCUAGUUGGUGGGGUAAAGGCCUACCAAGGCGACGAUCAGUAGCUGGUCUGAGAGGACGACCAGCCACACUGGGACUGAGACACGGCCCAGACUCCUACGGGAGGCAGCAGUGGGGAAUUUUGGACAAUGGGCGAAAGCCUGAUCCAGCAAUGCCGCGUGUGUGAAGAAGGCCUUCGGGUUGUAAAGCACUUUUGUCCGGAAAGAAAUCCUUG
rnacentral:rRNA from 1 species